GAUGAACGCUGGCGGCGUGCCUAACACAUGCAAGUCGAACGGGGAUAGGAUGAAACCUAGUGAUUCCUAUUCUAGUGGCGGACGGGUGAGUAACGCGUGGAUAACCUGCCUUGUACAGGGGGAUAACACCUGGAAACAGGUGCUAAGACCGCAUAAGCGCACAGUCUCGCAUGGGACAGUGUGAAAAACUCCGGUGGUACAAGAUGGAUCCGCGUCUGAUUAGCCAGUUGGCGGGGUAACGGCCCACCAAGGCGACGAUCAGUAGCCGGCCUGAGAGGGUGGACGGCCACAUUGGGACUGAGACACGGCCCAA
rnacentral:rRNA from 1 species